GACAGAGGGUGCGAACGUUGCUCGGAAUUACUGGGCGUAAAGCGCGCGUAGGCGGGCCGGUAAGUCGGUUGUGAAAUCCCUGGGCUCAACUCAGGAACUGCAUCCGAAACUGUCGGUCUAGAGUAGUGGAGAGGGAUGGCGGAAUUCCGGGUGUAGAGGUGAAAUUCGUAGAUAUCCGGAGGAACACCGGUGGCGAAGGCGGCCUCCUGGACACUUACUGACGCUGAGGCGCGAAAGCGUGGGGAGCAAACAGGAUUAGAUACCCUGGUAGU
rnacentral:rRNA from 1 species